UACAGAGGCCCCAAGCGUUACUGAGAAUCACUGGGUUUAAAGGGUGCGUAGGUGGUCCGUUAAGUCUGUUGUGAAAGCCCUUGGCUCAACCAAGGAAUUGCUUCGGAUACUGGCGGACUUGAGGCUAGUAGAGGUCACUGGAACUGACGGUGGAGCGGUGAAAUGCGUAGAUAUCGUCAGGAACGCCGGUGGUGAAGACGGGUGACUGGGCUAGUUCUGACACUGAGGCACGAAAGCGUGGGGAGCAAACAGG
rnacentral:rRNA from 1 species